rnacentral:tRNA from 1 species
GGAGAGGUGGCUGAGUGGCCGAAAGCGGCGGUCUUGAAAACCGUUGAGGGUUUGUCCCCUCCGUGGGUUCGAAUCCCACCCUCUCCGCCA